rnacentral:rRNA from 1 species
AGCCCGCUCAGAACUCAAAGGAUUGACGGGGGCCCGCACAAGCGGUGGAGCAUGUGGUUUAAUUCGAUGAUACGCGAGGAACCUUACCUGGGCUCAAAUGUAUGUUGACGUAUUCUGAAAGGGAUACUUCUUCGGACAAUAUACAAGGUGCUGCAUGGUUGUCGUCAGCUCGUGCCGUGAGGUGUCGGGUUAAGUCCCAUAACGAGCGCAACCCCUACCUUUAGUUGCCAUCAGGUAAUGCUGGGGACUCUAAAGGAACUGCCUACGCAAGUAGUGAGGAAGGCGGGGAUGACGUCAAAUCAGCACGGCCCUUACGUCCAGGGCUACACACGUGCUACAAUGGCCGAUACGGAGGGCAGCUACCUGGUGACAGGAUGCAAAUCUCCAAAGUCGGUCUCAGUUCGGAUCGGAGUCUGCAACCCGACUCCGUGAAGUUGGAUUCGCUAGUAAUCGUGCAUCAGCCAUGGCGCGGUGAAUACGUUCCCGGGCCUU